rnacentral:lncRNA from 1 species
GGAUAUCACAUUUAACAUAAUCCAAUAAUAGUUAAAUAACAAUUUAACUAAAUAACUUAAACGUUGCAGCGGAAAAUUGUUUCAUAAACCAUAAAUCGUUUUUGGCACGUAGGCCCCAUUAAAAUGUUUCAACAGUUAAUCAACAUCAAAAAUGACAUAAUUGUCAUAAAUGUUCACGUAAGAGAAUGAAGCAUGCAUAUCAAACACCCCAUCCCGUUACGUAUCAGAGUGACCUAGACGACACAGUGAGGUAAGGCCACUCACAAACAGCAACUGCACACUAAGCACGAUCACCUGCAAGUUACUCAUACGAAGAGCAACAUUUUCAAGCAGAAGGGGUGAGAUUUCAUAAUACAAUAAUAUCAAUCAUUAUAAUUCAAAAAUCAUAACUAACAUCAUAAUCCGUCUUAAUCAACUUUGCAUCUUUGAUAAACAAGUAUCACAUAAUCACAACUUCAAUCUUCAUCAAUAACAUAAACACCUUUAAACCUUGACAAUGCGACAAUGCAACUUAGACACUUAUAUGCAUGUGGUACCAAUCGUCAUCAUAAGUAUUAAUAUACUUUAAUCGUGCGGAGGACAAAGCUCCUAAAACGUGUGGAGGACAAAUUCCUAUCAUGGUGAGGACAAAGCUCAAUGAAUGCUAAUGCAUGGACUCUAACAACAAAACACCUUAAUCAACUUAUCACUUAUGCUUCCAAUAAUUUGGAGUUCAUCAACAACUUAUUCAUAUUCAUGCAACUUAGUUUAAUAACAAUUGCAGCAUAAUCAAUCACAUCAGGUUAAAUAACAAAUCAUUCUCAAUAGUUUCUUGAUCAUUCAACAAUAAUUCAAGCAAGUAUAUUUCAAUCCAUAAUUCACUUCAUAAUCAUUUGACAAUUCAUAAAGCUUCACAGUUCUCGGUCAAUAUCAUUAUUAGGUCUCAUUAGCACCUAAAGUUCCUUUCCUAACUAAUCCAAACAACUCAAGUCUCACAAUCCUCAAAAACACUCAGUUCUGGAAGUGCUCGCGAGGCGGGAGCAUCAGCUCGCCAUGGCGAGUACAAGCCAGAAUUCCAACUAAGGUUGUUCCAGGUUCAAUCUCGUUCUAAAUCAAUCUCUAAACAAUAGUAGGCACCUAAAGGUACUCAAAGGUAUCUAAGGUUCAACUCAAAAGUCAAAAACUCAGAAAACAACUUGCUCUCUGGUCAAGCUCGCUAUGGCGAGUAAGGUUGCUCGUCGUGGCGAGCUACACCAAGUAACUCGCGAGGCGAAGGGUUAAGGCUCGCGUGGCGAGCGAUGAACAUCAUCCAUCGCGAGGCGAGGAUCAUAGCUCGCUAUGGCGAGCGAUGAAUUUUGGCUCGGACAUAAUGCAGUUUCUACACGAAAAUCAUCAUCUAACAUAGUUCUAAGCCUAGUUUCAAAUCCAGAAUUCAUCCUAAACAUAUUCUAAGGUUAUAGGACGGUUUCUACAUCAAUCUAACACAAUUUUACCGUUUGAUCAUCAAUUUUUAGGGUUUUGACCUAAUUCCAAAACUUCUCUAAAUCAAUCCUAACCUUGUCACUUAAUCAUCAGAAUUACAACAAUUAACAUUACUGAAUUAUUAGUCUCACCCUUACCUUAUUGUGUAGAAAUCGCAGCCCUCCAAGGUCUCUCUUGCUCUUCUCUUGGUUUUUCUCCCUUUUCUCCAAAAACGUACGUACAACAAUUUUUUUUCCUCUAAAACUAGGUCUAUCUCUUAUAUACAUCUUCCUAAUAUCUUAUCUUAUCUCACUUUCUCCCCCAAAACUAUCUAAAAUCUCAAAACAGCCCUCAACUAAAUAUUUUUAUUUUCUUAUCAAAUCUUAUUUUAUUUAACAAUAAAAUAAGUCUCAUAAGCUCAUCAAAUCAUCAAAACACAUCAAAUCAUCUAAAUCAACCUAAAUCAUCUUAACUCAACAAAACUCACACAUAUAUUAUAAAAAUAUAAUAUAAUCGCUUAAACUCGAUUAAAUAAAUAAUUAAACGAAAGUGGGCGUUACAGGGACUAAAUUGAUCGAUAGUGACGAAAAUUUCGAAGGACGAAAUUGAUUGAUUUCAGAAAAUAUUAUGCAAUAAAGUCCCUGUUAAUUUUUACAUAUUAUCAAAUCGAUCCCUAAAUUAUAUUUAAAAACCGUCAAAUAAGUCCUCUAAUUACAUAAACAUAUAUCCAAUUUGAUCCUUGAAGCGUAUAUUUGCAGAACAAAGUAAAAAUGACAGAACACACAACUUCAUCCUUGAAUAUAAGAUUAAAUAAGUCAUAUGUCUUAAGUUUAAUUGAAAUAUUACAUAAGCAAAAACAACCCAACUAUGGAGCCUUAACAAGUUAAAUAUUACAUAACCAAAAAGAAACCCAACUAGGGGGCAUAAUUUAAACAAGUCAAAAUAUUCUAAAAGCAUAAUCUAAACAUGCAUCAAGUAUCACUUCUUUGAAAAUCCGGGGGUUGUGAUAAACUCCAUGAAACUUAGAUUGGGUUUUAGCGGGAAGGAGAAAGAUCAGGGACGUUUUUUAUGUUCUAACUGAAAUGUGAGGAUAGAAAUUUAUGGGUAAUAGAGGGAUAAAUUUGAAAAAACAUGAAAAAUUGAAUUUAAAAAGUAAAAAUGAUAUUUUUAGCGUUUCCAUCAAAUUGGUCAUUGUACACGUGGCUUUCCUUGUUGACACGUGUACAAGGCAACAUGACAUGCAUGACGACAACUCAGCAGCACUAGCGGAGCAUUUGGACGGAAGGACUAUUUUGAUGGACGUUUGUUAAAUUCAGGGACAAAGCGUGCAUUUCGAUUAAUUGGGGGACAUUUUUGUCGGAUUCGUGAAAAUCCAGGGACGAAUUUGGGUAUUCACUCCCUUAUUUUUUAGGCUUAAUUACACUUAUGGUCCUUCCAUUUUGACCAACUCACGAAAAUGGUCCUACCUUUUUAAAAUCGAACAAAAUCGUCCUUAAACUAUAUGUUUUUUGCAGUUUUAGUCCUAUCUCCCUAUUUCCAACUCAAGAAACGCACAUAAAUGACAGUUUUAGUCCAACCACCUAUGCUCAACCAUGAAAUAAACAAGGAAUAAAACAUGUGGGUACAAGAAAUCUACUUUAUUCAGCACACUAACCUAAUUUCUUGAGACAUAUUACAUACCUUGAAACAUGUCUUAGAAAUUAGGGUUUUUCUUGUUUGUGUGAUGAACAAAGUAGAUUCCUUGUACCCACAUGAUUUAUUUCUUGUUUAUUUCAUGGUUGAGCAUAGGUGGUUGGACUAAAACUGUCAUUUAUGUGCGUUUCUAGAGUUGGAAAUAGGAAGAUAGGACUAAAACUGCAAAAAAAAAAAACAUAUAGUUUAGGGACGAUUUUGUUUGAUUUAAAAGAGAUAAGACCAUUUUCGUGAGUUGGUCAAAAUACAAGGACCAAAAAUAUAAUUAAACCUAUUUUUUAUCUCAUUUACAUCUCCUCUCUCCCACUCUCCCUCUGUUCUCACUCACUCUAUGUUCUUUAUUAAUAUUUACAUUCAUACACUUGUAUAGAUAAUAGUCUAUUAGGCUUAUGAAAUUGGACCUUUAUAUUUCUAAGUUAGUAGUUUAUUUAGUCCUUCUACAUUUUACUAUAAUUUUCAUAAGUUAUGUUAUUCGCAUUAUUGAAACCCUAUCAUUUCUUUCGUCUCUAUUUUUUUUUUUUUUUUGAAGCAAUCUCUAUUAUUAACAUGGUGGUUAUUGGUAUUUAUUAUAGUUGGAAAGUCAACUAAAUUUGAAAUACAGAUAAAUAUUUAAUAGAUCUUGUUAACGAGUGUCCUAAGGGCAUUUUUUAAAAAAUUUUAAUAAAGAAAUUAUUCUUUAAAAAAGUCAAAAAUUUUAAUUUUUAAUACAUUAAUUUCAUAAAUUUUGACAAAAACUUACUAAAAGUUACUAAACAAUGUCUAAGAACACUUGUUAACAUCUUCCAUAUGUAAUUAGUGUGAAUGCGGCAGCCUGAAUUUGCACCAUGCAAUAAACAAACUCAAAAAAUUCUUUAUGGAGUAGCGUGAGAAAAAUAAACACAAGUAACACUAAUUUGUUUGGUUGUUGUUUCUGUUGUUGUUGUUGGGUUCACCGGUUCAAAACAAAAUGCCACCUUGUCCCGGUUGUCAAGCCUUCUAUAGGUCUUCUAAGGUGAUGCGUUGAGUAUCUUUCAUAUCGGAUUUGCUGUACGAAAAUUAAAUUUGCAAGUUUUACUUGAUUGCAUAAAAAAGAGUAAAUUACAUUUUCUUUCUCUUAAAGAUGUUUGAAUUACACUUUCUUUCCUCUAUAUUAAAAUAUACACUUCCCUCCCCUCUUAUUCAAAACAUAUUAGAAAAAUAUUUCACUCACCUCCCUUGAGAGAAGCUUGAAUUACAUUUCUCUCCCCUCUUAUGUUAAAAUCUACGAUUUACUCCCUCAAUAUUUUUUUUUAUUUCUAAUAAUCAAGCAAAAAAAAAAAUACAACUCGAUUUGAAGAAAAAUAGUAUUACAGGUUCAUUAUAAUAUAUCAAAAUUUGAUAUUUUUCUCUAUUUUUUAUUCACAAUUUCAUUAACAUGUAGUUUUAAACCCUAUUAUAAAAUAUGAAACAACCCAAAAUAAAAUUAAAAUAUGUAAGAAAUAAUUAAAGUCAUUUAAGUAAUGCUUAUUUAAAUGUGAAUUUUAAACUCUAAAUUAUAAAUUAACAACAAAAUAUUUAUAUUUAAUUAUAAUUGACAUUUAAAUUAUAAAAAAAUAAAUUGAUGUUUUUUAAAUCGUGAUUCAAAAUUAGUAUAUAUUAUAAAAAUAUUUAUUUUUGUUAAAAUAGAUUAAAGUGUAUUGUAUAUUUAAUUAUUAAGGGAGCGGAUUGAAAUUCAAGCAUCUCACAAGGAAGGGGACUAUCAACUUUACUUUUUAAGGGAGGAGAAUGUAUAUUUUAACAUAAGAAAGGAGGGAAGUGUAAGUGAAGUAUCUUUGAAGAGAGAGGAGUAUAAUUUACUCUAAAAUAAAUUAUUGGUUUAAUUCAGAGUUUUAAAAGCAAUUAGGAUUCUUCAUAUUUAUUCUACCUUUUUUGUUGGAUCAAUACAACAUACCUUCUAAGUAAGACCUAAGGAUCUUUAAUAAUAAAUUAAAGGCUCUUAAGAAAAAAAAAAUUAUUUUCCCAUUACAGUUAAAGAAAGGUAGGUUGUCAAUAAAAAAAAUAAAAACAAGGUUUGAUUGGUUUAUUUUUUACGUAUUUAAGUAUAUGCCAACCAAUAAAUUUAGAGCAUCCACAAUGGAGACUUUCAUCUUGGAUAUUUAAAUGAUUCACAUAUGUAAAUAUUAUUCUUUAUAAUUUUUUAAUUGUAGUACAUAAUAAACACUUAAUCCCUCCAAUCCAACAUCUCACACAAAUUUAUUAAAUGAGAACCAUUAAUCAACUAUCAAUAAGUUUGUAUCAUUACAUUUCAAUUUUUUUAUAUUAAAAAGUGUAAGUCCCGUUUAAGAUUAGAGUCUUAAGUGAGACCUUAUAUCUUAUAAGAUCUGAAAAAAUCUCCAUUAAAGAUAUCUAAUAGGUUUCAAAUCUUCUAAGUUUGACAUCCAUCAUUGAGGAUGGUCUUAAAAAACACAAUGAAAAAUAGGAGGUUUUUGUGUGCACACCCUCGCUGUUGUGGCUACAAGAAAUGAUAAUGAGCUCAAGAAACAUAAUUUUUAAUAAGUGCUUACUGAAAUGAAGUUUGUGUGUUUCUAACAAAGGAAGGAAACCAAAGUCAAAAAGGUUGUCGGUGCUUAAUCUAACAACAAAAGGAUUGCUCAUAUUUUGAAUUCAUUGUCCAAUCUACUAUUUCUGUUGAAAUGUUAGGUUGCAUUUUAAUCCCCUUUAAUUUGUUCAUAUAAAAUGUACAAAAAAAAUUCUAUUCAAAUGUAGGAUUUGUUGUAAAAUUAAGCGUAAAAAUUAUUCUCAAAUAAAAAUUAAUAUAUGCAUAUAUACAUCAAUUGAAUAUAAGCAAAAGAGAAGGAUGGUUACACUUAUGUAUCCUUAAUAUUUUUAGAUAGCUAGGGUGCUAACAUAACUCUGUCAAUAUCUUUCACCAACAACUCAUAUGUAACUUAUAAAAUAAUAAAUAGUUGUAUAACAUGAGGCGUGAUAAAGUCACUAUAUUUAAGGAUUUAUCCACCUAACUGUUCCUUAUAAUCGAAUAACCAAACAUGGUCUAGUUGUUCCUUAUAAUGAGGAAAUCAGUUUCUAAUAUAUUGAUCACAUCCACAACAUUUGUAUUAUCAAGAAAUUACGUCCACACAACAUUCAAGUCAUACAUCAAAUAAGAGUCAUCAUCACAUCAUCACUUAAUCAUCAAUAAUCAUCAACAAUCAUCAAUAAUCAUCAACCUCAUUCAAAUCAUUCAACAUCAUAUAGUUUCGUCACUCCGAUCAUUUCUCAUAUUCCAAGUAAGAGAACAUACAACAUCUUAUGAUAAAUAUCAUAUACAACACAUAACAAUUCAUUCACACAUCUCCAUUUAGUCAUACAAGGCUAGUCACGAAAGAUCGUAAGAUAAUUGGCUUAAAAGAAUCAUUUCCGAUAAAACUGUAUCAAGUGGCAAACAGUCAACUUUGAUAACUCUCAAGUAAGGUAACAUAAUCAAGUUUGAAAACUAAUAAAUCAAUCUUAAUCAAUCAUACAGUCAUGAGUUUAAGCCACUUACAAACUAUUAGACAUUAGUUCAAAGAAUAGCUUAAGUUCGUAUGAGAAAAUCCCAAGUUUACACAUUCCACAAUCCCACCCGAAAAUCAAGUUUGACAUGAUUAAGUCAUUGUACCAACUUUACAAGCAUUGCCUAAGCCCAUAUGAAUUGUAGAUCAAGCUUGCAACCCUUUUUGUUCAUAAAAUUCCAAGUUCUGACAAUUUCCGAAAAAAUCGAAACGACACAAACUCAAGUUUCAAACCAUUUAGAAAAUCCAAGUUUUGACCAUGUAAAAUAUGUUCCAGCAAAAAUAUGAAUCAAAACAGCAAAAUAACACAUCAUUUUCAACUCUAACAUCUCAAGUUCAAUCGCCAAAACAUAGCUUAUUUCACGUGAUCACUUAAAACGACAUUUUAGUUAAAAACCCGUUUUCACCGAUUCAAUUCCACCCAAAAUAUUUCUCAAACCAUCAACACAUUCACAUUCCCAAAUACAUAAAUGCAUACUCAAUUAUUCACUCUAAGUACUUCAUUAAACUCAAUAUCAAGUUUGGAAAAGUUCCACGGCUCAUAGAAAAAGUUAUGAUAAGUUUUCACAAAAAUCCACAUGACCCAUGUGUAGUAAUUUGAUCAUAACUCAAGUUCUAAAAAUCAUUUGGAAGUCAAACCAAAGCCAUUAGAAAUCUAACAUCUUAACCUACAAUUUUCAUGUUAACAACUAAAGCCAACUCAAAAAGGAAAAUGGUGAAAAAUGACAAACAAGACAGGUCUGGGCGCCAGGAAGCUGCAUAAGCGCUGGCUCUCUGGAACUGGGCACCUAGCGCCCCAGUUCAAGCGCCAGCCCUGCGAAAAGUGCGAAUUUGGGUUGUUUGGCCUCGGGUUUCCUUCAAAAUCACCCCAAAAGUGCUUAUUUUGAUUCCCCAUUCACCCAAAGUGUUUAACAACUUAUCCCAAGGCUCAAACACAUCAAAUAAGCUCUUUUCACAACACUCAAAAUGGCUUAUACAACAAUUAAAUUGAUUUUUCUUAAAACACCAAAACUUUAACAACAACAACAAUUCAUUUUUUUUCAACAAUUCAUUUCAACAAAAGCAACUCAACAUAACUCAUACCCAAGCCAUGAUAUGAGAUUACCAACAACAAUUAACCACAACGACAAAUUAUAAUCAUACAUUCCAUCAUAUUACAACAACAACAUGUCAUAAAUCACCAAUUGAAUAUAGUUCACAAACUACCCAUUUUCACAAAACCAACAACAACAACUUAUUUCUCAUCAUCAAAUCAUGAAUUAUGAACACGCAAGCCAUGAAUCACCAACAACAAUAUCACUUAGCAACAACAACAUCAAUUGAACAUGAAUCUUACCACAAUUCAACAACAACAUAGCAUAAUUCAACAAUUUGAGCAUAUUUCAACAUAUAUCACUUUCUCAUACUUUGAACAUGAAAUUUCACCAACAACAAUUCAAUUAUCAACAACUUCAUGCAUUCAAACAUAACAUCAUAAUUGGAGCACGAAUUCUAACAAUUAUGAACAAUUAAUCUAUUACUCAAUUAAGCACUUAUUCAUACAACAAUUGAAAAUUUAUACUAAAAAUGAUUAUGAUGAAUUCUAACCCCCUUACCUUAGUUAUAUUAAUUCCCUAGCUCAAGCUUCACUUUAGCUUCUAGGUCUCUCCAACUCUUGAAUCUUCAACCUCAUCUUCUCUCUAACCCUUUCUUCCUCUUUCUCCCACUUUCUCUCUCUAACUCUCUCAAAAUAUCUUGUAAAUGAAAGUGUGU